rnacentral:rRNA from 1 species
UGGGGAAUAUUGCACAAUGGAGGGAACUCUGAUGCAGCGACGCCGCGUGAACGAAGAAGGCUUUCGAGUCGUAAAGUUCUUUUAUAUGGGCAGAUAAUGACGGUACCAUAAGAAAAAGCCCCGGCUAACUACGUGCCAGCAGCCGCGGUAAUACGUAGGGGGCUAGCGUUGUCCGGAAUCACUGGGCGUAAAGGGUUCGCAGGCGGAAAUGCAAGUCAGGUGUAAAAGGCAGUAGCUUAACUACUGUAAGCAUUUGAAACUGCAUAUCUUGAGAAGAGUAGAGGUAAGUGGAAUUUUUAGUGUAGCGGUGAAAUGCGUAGAUAUUAAAAAGAACACCGGUAGCGAAGGCGACUUACUGAGCUGAUUCUGACGCUGAGGAACGAAAGCGUGGGUAGCAAACAGG